GGCGACGACGGGUAGCCGGCCUGAGAGGGCGACCGGCCACACUGGGACUGAGACACGGCCCAGACUCCUACGGGAGGCAGCAGUGGGGAAUAUUGCACAAUGGGCGCAAGCCUGAUGCAGCGACGCCGCGUGAGGGAUGACGGCCUUCGGGUUGUAAACCUCUUUCAGCAGGGACGAAGCGUGAGUGACGGUACCUGCAGAAGAAGCACCGGCCAACUACGUGCCAGCAGCCGCGGUAAUACGUAGGGUGCAAGCGUUGUCCGGAAUUACUGGGCGUAAAGAGCUCGUAGGCGGUUUGUCGCGUCGUCUGUGAAAACCAGCAGCUCAACUGUUGGCUUGCAGGCGAUACGGGCAGACUUGAGUAUUUCAGGGGAGACUGGAAUUCCUGGUGUAGCGGUGAAAUGCGCAGAUAUCAGGAGGAACACCGGUGGCGAAGGCGGGUCUCUGGGAAAUAACUGACGCUGAGGAGCGAAAGCGUGGGUAGCGAACAGGAUUAGAUACCCUGGUAGUCCACGCCGUAAACGGUGGGCGCUAGGUGUGGGUUUCCUUCCACGGGAUCCGUGCCGUAGCUAACGCAUUAAGCGCCCCGCCUGGGGGAGUACGG
rnacentral:rRNA from 1 species